GUAUUUAUUAUCAAUUGUGCCUUUUGAGAUCAAGUGUGUGUCUCAAAACUCCCUUCGACUUUUACACCAUAUAAGAAGAGUCUUAUACCAUUAGGAAAUUGAAGGACAACAUGAUUUCCCUUUUGCGUUCGCAAGGGAUCAGGUCAUUGAUCUCCAUCUACGGAAAACACUAUGAAAUUGAUGCUAUUGCACCAUGUUUCUUCUUCUAAAUAGACUCCAUUCAUAAACCACAUAUAGCCUAAGAUGCUCUACCCCUCACUCUUCAUUAGGUUGAGUAGGCUUACUUUUCAAAGGUAUCUCUUCAUAAUGUGUGAUACAUUACACAAGAAGUAUUUGUCAGAAAUCAAGACUUAUAUUUUGUAAACUUGAUCUAUUGGAGCAACUUUACUUUCUUUUUAUUCCAUGUAGUAGAAAAAAAUUUCAUGCUCUAUAGCAUUAUUGCUUUGUGAUGACCAUGGAAAAUAUAUCAUUCGCAUACAAAAUCAUCGCAUGAAUACCAAAUUUUAUGAAUAAUCAAUUCUCUCCCUUCCUGGGCCCUUGCUUGAACUGAACCAUUCUCCAACUUGUAGAGUCUCAAUGCUCUUACUUACAUCAAGCACUAUCAAGUUAGAUUAACGUUAUCGAGUUAUUACUCGAACUCAACUAUCUUAACUUUUGUGUACACACAUGUUCUUCCUAACUCAUUUAUUCUUGUGAUGCCUCUUACGUAAAGGGUUAACCAUUCAUUCGAAUAUCAAUCUUGGAUGUUGGAUUUAGCUGGUGUUGUCUAAGAUGUGUGACACACUUGAGAUAUUCGUCUACAAAAGGUUAGCAUUCUAGUAAUCUUAUACAAUCCCAUAGAGACCUACAAGAAAAAGAAAAGUUAAUGGGAGCCAAACACUAGAUCACACAAGCAAACAUUAUAUAAAAAUGAACUUUGAAUGAUUGAGUAACCUAUGCACAUAAGUGUACAUGUGACACCAGUUGUAAAACCACAUUGACGAAGAGAUUGCCCCUCAAAAUUCUUUUGGUUAAAAUGUCAUGUGACUUGAAGGAUAGGAUAUGAUUCAAAUGGAAAGACCAAACCAAAAAUCAUAACAGAACCAAAACAUUAGGAGCUUGAACCUCAAAAGAAAGUAACCUUUUUCCUAGGAUUGGGCAUCAUUCCUUAUUCUAAGUGGAAGAUUUUGAUUAUCGUUUUCCUUGUAACUAUCUGAGACACUAAGGAUGACCCAUCUAGACAUAUAACCCAUUCAUAGACAUAUAAUUGAAGCUUCAGCCGAAUUAGUAACACCAAAGGAUACCAGGGUGAUAAGACAAUUGAUAUUUUACAUUACAAGAUCAUCAAGCAGAAAUCAACUAAACACCAAAGGAUACCAGGGUGAUAAGACAAUUGAUGUUUUACAUUACAAGAUCAUCAAGCAGAAAUCAACUAU
rnacentral:lncRNA from 1 species